GCGGACGUGGCGGAAUUGGCAGACGCGCUAGGUUGAGGGCCUAGUGGGGAAUAUCCCCAUGGUGGUUCAAGUCCACUCGUCCGCACCA
rnacentral:tRNA from 1 species